rnacentral:rRNA from 1 species
UACGUAGGGAGCAAGCGUUGUUCGGAUUUACUGGGCGUAAAGGGCGCGUAGGCGGCGCGGUAAGUCACUUGUGAAAUCUCUGAGCUUAACUCAGAACGGCCAAGUGAUACUGCAGUGCUAGAGUGCAGAAGGGGCAAUCGGAAUUCUUGGUGUAGCGGUGAAAUGCGUAGAUAUCAAGAGGAACACCUGAGGUGAAGACGGGUUGCUGGGCUGACACUGACGCUGAAGCGCGAAAGCUAGGGGAGCAAACGGG